rnacentral:lncRNA from 1 species
GGAAGGACAUCUCCGUGGACAGGGACAGUCCAUGCGUGAUGGAGGACAACUCCGUGGACAGGGACAGCCCAUGCGUGAUGGAAGGACAUCUCCGUGGACGGGGACAGCCCGUGCGUGAUGGAAGGACAUCUCCGUGGACGGGGACAGCCCAUGCGUGGAUGGAAGGACAUCUCCGUGGACGGGGACAGCCUGUGCGUGGAUGGAAGGACAUCUCCGUGGACGGGGACAGCCCAUGCAUGGAUGGAAGGACAUCUCCGUGGACGGGGACAGCCCAUGCAUGGAUGGAAGGACAUCUCCGUGGACGGGGACAGCCCAUGCGUGGAUGGAAGGACAUCUCCGUGGACGGGGACAGCCCAUGCGUGGAUGGAAGGACAUCUCCGUGGACGGGGACAGCCCAUACGUGGAUGGAAGGACAUCUCCGUGGACGGGGACAGCCCAUGCGUGGAUGGAAGGACAUCUCCGUGGACGGGGACAGCCCGUGCGUGAUGGAAGGACAUCUCCGUGGACGGGGACAGCCCGUGCGUGGAUGGAAGGACAUCUCCGUGGACGGGGACAGCCC